UGAGAAAUNNACNUAAAUGAAUCAAAACUUUCAACAACGGAUCUCUUGGUUCUGGCAUCGAUGAAGAACGCAGCGAAAUGCGAUAAGUAAUGUGAAUUGCAGAAUUCAGUGAAUCAUCGAAUCUUUGAACGCACAUUGCGCCCUCUGGUAUUCCGGA
rnacentral:rRNA from 1 species